AUUGAACGCUGGCGGCAUGCCUUACACAUGCAAGUCGAACGGCAGCACGGGUGCUUGCACCUGGUGGCGAGUGGCGAACGGGUGAGUAAUACAUCGGAACAUGUCCUGUAGUGGGGGAUAGCCCGGCGAAAGCCGGAUUAAUACCGCAUACGAUCUACGGAUGAAAGCGGGGGACCUUCGGGCCUCGCGCUAUAGGGUUGGCCGAUGGCUGAUUAGCUAGUUGGUGGGGUAAAGGCCUACCAAGGCGACGAUCAGUAGCUGGUCUGAGAGGACGACCAGCCACGCUGGGACUGAGACACGGCCCAGACUCCUACGGGAGGCAGCAGUGGGGAAUUUUGGACAAUGGGCGAAAGCCUGAUCCAGCAAUGCCGCGUGUGUGAAGAAGGCCUUCGGGUUGUAAAGCACUUUUGUCCGGAAAGAAAUCCUUGGCCCUAAUACGGUCGGGGGAUGACGGUACCGGAAGAAUAAGCACCGGCUAACUACGUG
rnacentral:rRNA from 1 species